AAUAUCCUUUUAACAAAUUAUGCGUAUUUAAGGCGAUAGGACUGCGCAUGCGCAGAACGUAUCUCCUUACCUUUGCACUUUUUGGUAAGAAGAUGUUAACGAAAGUUGUUCGUCUUGAUGAGGGCUACCACUUUGCUUAAUAUCCUUUUAACAAAUUAUGCGUAUUGAAGGAGAUAGGGCUGCGCAUGCGCAGAACGUAUCUCCUUACCUUUGCACUUUUUGGUAAGAAGAUGUU
rnacentral:miRNA from 1 species